rnacentral:rRNA from 1 species
GCCGCCGCGGUAAUACGUAGGUGGCAAGCGUUGUCCGGAUUUACUGGGCGUAAAGGGAGCGUAGGCGGACUUUUAAGUGGGAUGUGAAAUACCCGGGCUUAACCUGGGUGCUGCAUUCCAAACUGGGAGUCUAGAGUGCAGGAGGGGAAAGUGGAAUUCCUAGUGUAGCGGUGAAAUGCGUAGAGAUUAGGAAGAACACCGGUGGCGAAGGCGACUUUCUGGACUGUAACUGACGCUGAGGCUCGAAAGCGUGGGGAGCGAACAGGAUUAGAUACCCC